GGAGUUAGCUCAGUGGUAGAGCGCUUGCCUAGCAAGCACAAGGCCCUGGGUUCGGUCCCCAGCUCCA
rnacentral:tRNA from 1 species